rnacentral:rRNA from 1 species
CCAAUAGCGUAUAUUAAAGUUGUUGCAGUUAAAAAGCUCGUAGUUGAAUUUCGGGAUCAAUAUGUUGGUCGUGCCUUGGUACGUACUGGCGUCAUUGGUUUCUACCUUCUGAAGAACCUCGAUGUCAUUAAUUUGGUGUCUUGGGGAAUCAGGACUGUUACUUUGAAAAAAUUAGAGUGUUUAAAGCAAGCUCACGCUUGAAUACAUUAGCAUGGAAUAAUGAAAUAGGACGUUUGAUUCUAUUUUGUUGGUUUCUAGGAUCGACGUAAUGAUUAAUAGGGAUAGUUGGGGGCAUUAGUAUUCAAUUGUCAGAGGUGAAAUUCUUGGAUUUAUUGAAGACUAACUACUGCGAAAGCAUUUGCCAAGGAUGUUUUCAUUAAUCAAGAACGAAAGUUAGGGGAUCGAAGACGAUCAGAUACCGUCGUAGUCUUAACCAUAAACUAUGCCGACUAGGGAUCGGAUGAUGUUAAUUUUUUAAUGACUCAUUCGGCGCCUUAC